rnacentral:rRNA from 1 species
UACGAAGGUCCCAAGCGUUAUCCGGAUUUAUUGGGUUUAAAGGGUGCGUAGGCGGACUAUUAAGUCAGUGGUGAAAGCCCCAGCUUAACUUGGGAACUGCCAUUGAUACUGAUGGUCUUGAGUAUAUUUGAGGUGGGCGGAAUGUGUCAUGUAGCGGUGAAAUGCUUAGAUAUGACACAGAACACCGAUUGCGAAGGCAGCUCACUAAACUGUAACUGACGCUGAGGCACGAAAGCGUGGGGAGCAAACAGG